UACGUAGGUGGCAAGCGUUGUCCGGAAUUAUUGGGCGUAAAGCGCGCGCAGGCGGCCUUUUAAGUCUGAUGUGAAAGCCCACGGCUCAACCGUGGAAGGUCAUUGGAAACUGAAAGGCUUGAGUACAGAAAAGGAAAGCGGAAUUCCACGUGUAGCGGUGAAAUGCGUAGAGAUGUGGAGGAACACCAGUGGCGAAGGCGGCUUUCUGGUCUGUAACUGACGCUGAGGCGCGAAAGCGUGGGGAGCAAACAGG
rnacentral:rRNA from 1 species